AUGUUGUUGUCUUUGUUCUUUUUAGGGACAUGGCCAGCCUUACUAACUUUACUUGAAAGAAGAGGAAGAUUUCCUCAACACACUUAUCUUGAUUAUACUUUGACUAAUCUUUUGGCUGCUGUUAUAAUUGCUUUUACUUUUGGUGAAAUUGGGACAAGCUCAUUGGAAAAACCGAAUUUCCUUUCUCAACUCGCUCAGGAUAAUUGGCCCAGUGUCUUGUUUGCAAUGGCUGGAGGGGUGGUCCUCAGCAUUGGGAACCUUACAACGCAAUAUGCUUGGGCAUUUGUUGGUUUAUCAGUUACUGAGGUCGUCUCCUCAAGCAUUACUGUUGUUAUAGGAACAACCUUG
rnacentral:misc_RNA from 1 species